UGUGUGUGUGUGUGUGUGUGUGUGUGUGUGUGUGUAUAUAUAUAUACACACACACACACACACACAUAUAUAUACACA